UACAGAGGGUGCAAGCGUUAAUCGGAAUUACUGGGCGUAAAGCGAGCGUAGGUGGCUUGAUAAGUCAGAUGUGAAAUCCCCGGGCUUAACCUGGGAACUGCAUCUGAAACUGUCAGGCUAGAGUAGGUGAGAGGAAGGUAGAAUUCCAGGUGUAGCGGUGAAAUGCGUAGAGAUCUGGAGGAAUACCGAUGGCGAAGGCAGCCUUCUGGCAUCAUACUGACACUGAGGCUCGAAAGCGUGGGUAGCAAACAGG
rnacentral:rRNA from 1 species